rnacentral:rRNA from 1 species
ACAGAGGGGGCAAGCGUUGUUCGGAAUUACUGGGCGUAAAGGGCGCGUAGGCGGCCUUCUAAGUCGAACGUGAAAUCCCCGGGCUCAACCCGGGAACUGCGUCCGAUACUGGAAGGCUUGAAUCCGGGAGAGGGAUGCGGAAUUCCAGGUGUAGCGGUGAAAUGCGCAGAUAUCAGGAGGAACACCAAUUGCGAAGGCAGCUCGCUGGGACGUGACUGACGCUGAGACGCGAAAGCGUGGGGAGCAAACAGGA